UACGGGGGGGAGCAAGCGUUGUUCGGAUUUACUGGGCGUAAAGGGCGCGUAGGCGGCCACCGCAAGUCACUUGUGAAAUCUCCGGGCUUAACCCGGAAAGGUCAACUGAUACUGCGGGGCUAGAGUGCAGAAGGGGCAACUGGAAUUCUCGGUGUAGCGGUGAAAUGCGUAGAUAUCGGGAGGAACACCAGUGGCGGAAGGCGGUUGCCUGGGGCUUGCUGACGCUGAGGCGCGAAAGCGUGGGGAG
rnacentral:rRNA from 1 species